AACGAACGCUGGCGGCAUGCCUAACACAUGCAAGUCGAACGAGACCUUCGGGCCUAGUGGCGCACGGGUGCGUAACGCGUGGGAAUCUACCCUCAGGUUCGGAAUAACUCAGAGAAAUUUGAGCUAAUACCGGAUGAUGACGUAAGUCCAAAGAUUUAUCGCCUGAGGAUGAGCCCGCUUAGGAUUAGGUAGUUGGUGAGGUAAAGGCUCACCAAGCCGACGAUCCUUAGCUGGUCUGAGAGGAUGAUCAGCCACACUGGGACUGAGACACGGCCCAGACUCCUACGGGAGGCAGCAGUGGGGAAUAUUGGACAAUGGGCGAAAGCCUGAUCCAGCAAUGCCGCGUGAGUGAUGAAGGCCUUAGGGUUGUAAAGCUCUUUUACCCGGGAUGAUAAUGACGGUACCGGGAGAAUAAGCUCCGGCUAACUCCGUG
rnacentral:rRNA from 1 species